AAACAAGAAAGAAACUGCCACAAAACACUGGAACAACAAUGGAAGAAAUCUUGAGAAAGGCAUUUCAGAGAACUAAAGACUCAGGGUAGACAGAUCCAGGGUGCCAGGCUGGUAGGAAGCAGACAACAAAGAUGAAGCAUGGACAGUCCCUACUUUAUUAAAGGAAUCAGUAAGUAUUGGAAAGAGCACGAUUCCCAAACCAAAAAAGAAAAUAAUUCCUAAUGUUUCCAGGAAACAGAAGAGACCGUUAUGAAGCUAGGAUUUCCAUGAUUCACAACACAGAGGAGAGAAAGGUAAUGCUUUAGUUAACGUGUUAAUAAGUAUGAGGUCACUCUAGCCCUUCAAAGAAUUAGCACAAGUGUGCCUUUUAGUUCAGCCCAAUGUCAAUACUGACUGGCACUGCUGGGGCACUAACCU